GCGGUCGUAGCUCAAUUGGCUAGAGCGCAUCCCUGUCACGGAUGAGGCUGCGGGUUCGAGACCCGUCGAUCGCG
rnacentral:tRNA from 1 species